rnacentral:rRNA from 1 species
UGGGGAAUAUUGCACAAUGGGCGCAAGCCUGAUGCAGCCAUGCCGCGUGUAUGAAGAAGGCCUUCGGGUUGUAAAGUACUUUCAGCGAGGAGGAAGGCGUUGUGGUUAAUAACCGCAGCGAUUGACGUUACUCGCAGAAGAAGCACCGGCUAACUCCGUGCCAGCAGCCGCGGUAAUACGGAGGGUGCAAGCGGUAAUCGGAACUACUGGGUGUAAAGCGCACGCAGGCGGUCUGUCAAGUCGGAUGUGAAAUCCCCGGGCUCAACCUGGGAACUGCAUCCGAAACUGGCAGGCUAGAGUCUUGUAGAGGGGGGUAGAAUUCCAGGUGUAGCGGUGAAAUGCGUAGAGAUCUGGAGGAAUACCGGUGGCGAAGGCGGCCCCCUGGACAAAGACUGACGCUCAGGUGCGAAAGCGUGGGGAGCAAACA